UGCUUAUAACGCGAGCGUCUAUGCCUCGGUCGUUGUGGUCCACUUGCAUAGCCUUGGAGUGCAGGCGAGAAGUCCGCGCAGGUUUUCACUGCGCAGAGUGAACGCAACAGCCUUGCUACUAAAGGUCUCCCGUUCCAGUGUUGGCGCCGCGGAACGAGGGCGAACAAUGGGCGAACUGUCGACGGAGGCCCGUCCGCCGCGAUAGGUUCGAUUGGAGCGCAGGCGAAACGCUGUAAUCUUCGGUGGGCCAAAGGACGCUGCAGCCACGUGUGACUCAUGUUGAGCGAACUUUCGGGGCGUGCGCUGGUCGCAUGUGUAGGCGCCUUUCUCUCUCUCUCUUCAGAAGGCCGCGCACGUUGCGCACGAAUGUGUGCGUCUGCGGUAGAACCAGAGCUCGCGCAGACAGCUCUUAUGCGUCACGCGCUUUAGCGUAAUUCGCCAGACAAUAAUAGCAUUGUCCUGUGCGCAUGUAACUCUACAGAGCCGCACUUUUCCCGGAAUUGCCCCUCAACAGGACAGCCAGGCAAAUAGCACGCCCCAUGCAUAAAAAAUGCGAUGUCCACACCAAGGCACCAGUGAAGGUGGUUCCGGUAAGGCUGCGAAACCGCACACGGUUCCAGUGCAAAGACUACAGCGGAGAUCGCAGCUCUGAGGCGCCUGUUCCUGCGGCGAGCGUCGGCGUCGUCCCUCGGCGUCCUCGUAACCAAGCGAACGAACACAACGAAGGACGAAAGAGCGAACGCGGAUGAAAGACGGCCAUAGCAAAGAGAGCAUCAGGAGGAAAGAGGAGAAGGAGGGCGCAGCGGAUCCAUGAGGCAGAAAGCGGAGGAGAAGAAAGUGCAACGUGGAACAGCCGCAGGGAGCAGACCAACUGGUAGACGUCUCUGUCUUCUCUCCACAUAACCUCCCCUUCAGCGUUAUCCCUCUGGUCAUCCAAAGCAACCGCACCGGGAACGGAAAAAGAGAAAGCAAGGAGAGAAAUGUAGCGAGGUUGACCACACGAGCAUCCGCUUUGAACUCGACGCCAGAUACACCGUAUAUAUUUAUUUGCACCAUUAAGGGUGUAAAUCGGUUUGCAGUGAAUGCAUGAAGGAAGUCUAUUUACGAGAAAGGGUGGCUCUUUCGCUCGGUUCGGAUUUAGGGAAUGGAAGGGGAUGGAAAAGUGUCCAACCUCGAAGGCGGCAUCACAGAACACAGAUGACACCGGACUUACGGGCGAAGAUGUACACCGGCAUAAGAGCGACCCGAACCUCGAUUCACCCCGUGUCUUAUCCAGUGAUGGAGUCUCGUGAGAAUUAACUCGUUACCUCAGUUAGAAUGGUCAUUAAUGCCGACAUAAAGAGAGUCUUGUUUUAAUUAAUAACGCGGGCUGGAGACCAGUGCCGAUACAAGAGCAGCUGCUUCUAUUAAAUGUGGCACAUGUCAUAAGCAGUGACUGACCAAGAUGACAAAGCCUUUAUUUCCGUGCGAGAACGUCUCAGUUCUCGCUCUGUAUAUGUUUACCAGAGGAACAAAG